UAACUAUUAUCGCAAGGUAAUACUGAACAUGCAGAAGUCAGCAGAGGUCGUAGUAGUCGAGAGGUGAAGGAC
rnacentral:ncRNA from 1 species